rnacentral:lncRNA from 1 species
ACUUUCAACCAACGAUCAAGGUAAAAUUUAUUUUUAAAUUCAUGAGUUUUCUUAUGUAACGAACUGUUAUAUCUAUGGUUGGAUAUGGGUAUAUUUUUAAUCAAGUUAUGAUUGAUGAUAUGAAGUCAUGAACACUUAUAUCAAGACAUUUAUGAGAACCUUGUAGAGUAACAUAAUCCAUGUUUGUCCUAGUUAUGGCACGACUGAUAAGAACCCCCACGAGGACAGAAGCUUGUG